rnacentral:rRNA from 1 species
UACGAAGGGGGCUAGCGUUGCUCGGAUUUACUGGGCGUAAAGGGCGCGUAGGCGGAUAGUACAGUCAGGCGUGAAAUUCCUGGGCUCAACCUGGGGGCUGCGUUUGAUACGUGUUGUCUGGAGUUCGGAAGAGGGUCGUGGAAUUCCCAGUGUAGAGGUGAAAUGCGUAGAUAUUGGGAGGAACACCGGUGGCGAAGGCGGCCCUCUGGACCGAAACUGACACUGAAGCGCGAAAGCUAGGGGAGCAAACGGG